AUGACACGUGCGCGGAGUCUACGUGUCGGCAUUUCACGAUGUGAAAAACGAACACCUCCCGUGGACCAAACGCGCCAGCGAGUCCCCGACAUGAGAGCAGUAAACGUGGACGAGUCCAUUCCUCGCAGCCGCGGGGGUCCAUGUGAUUCACAUGUACCCCAGCAUGCGUGGUGUGUGCCGAAGGGACCUGGGCGCCACACCCCCUCCCAACCCCCCCCUCCACGUAGAACAUGUCCCGGUCUCCCAUAACCUUCUGUACAUCGCGUACAUGUUGUACUUUCACACAAGAGAGAGUCUGGCGAACCCCCCCCCCCCCCCCACGGAAGCGUCCCGAGCCCCGGCGGUGCUGCAGGUCUUGAAAGCUCUUCCCUCCGUUUGGCCCCCGCCUCACACCAACCGACAAUGAUCAUCCGACUGGGCCGACUGACACCCGGAUACUUCCGUCUCCUCCAGAGGCAAGUCGCCGGGGAGGUGCAGACGCAGCCGCGGGACCGCGCCGUCAACCAGCUGGCCAUGAUGCUGGCCAUCAUGGGCCUGAGUUUGUCCUACUACAGCGCCAAGCAGAUGACGGAGGACGUCCGCGCGCAGCCCGCGCCCUGAGGACACUCGCCCAGCCCGCUCGCGGAGAAGACGGGCGAGCCGAUGGGGGUAGAAGGAGGCGGGAGAAGGGGGGGUGUGGACUGGUUUGGGUGGGCGAUCAUAACCAGCCGACUGGCACCUGGGUCUGACCACUAGUCUCUUACAAAGGUACAUGCCUGCAAGAUGCCGUCAAUACUGUCCUGAGCGACGAAAAAGGGGACGCUCAUUUUGCCAGUUCUUCAAAGAGCGUCAAAUAAAAGCACAGUAAUGCCUUUGUUUUAAGCGAUGGGCUGACUGCAGUUGAGAUGUACCUUGUAAUGAAGUGAUGGCCGGCUCACAACAAGGCGGAAGGGGGCUAAUAAGUUAGCACAACACACUUUCUUUUUUUUGUUCUUCAUUAGAGAACCGUACAGAUCCAGAGCUUAAUUCAAAAACCGUCAAUGUGUAGAAAUGCUUGUAAAAUGUUUCUGUGUGGUGUCAGGUUCAUUUGAGUAGAUGUGCAAUAGUGCAGAAACAUUUUCUUUGAGUGCUACAUUGGCUCCUCAAAGGGACUUUAAGCAACUCCUCUUUUUAUGUUUGAUUGUUUUUUUUGAUCUCACACUACCGUAAAUCAAAGUCCCGUUGAGAUGAAUGACUACCUGUUUUCUUAAAGCACACUGAUUGAGAAACCUUCCUGCGAUCUCAUUCUACAUGCAGACCUUUUAACUUUAACUGAACAUUGCAUGUUUGUGCAGACUUUUAAUCGAGCGACAAUCUUGUUUUUAAAUGAUGGAUGAAUGUAUUACUCUGUGAAAGAUUUAAUAAAGCUGUGAACAUCUUGAAUGCGAUGCGCAGUGGCUGGUUUUCGUGACCUCGAUGAUGAAAACCUGUCUGAGCGGUUCCUCUGUCGGUGCUCGAGGCGGCUGAUCUCUGCCGUCUUCUGCACGCAACAGGAUGCGGUCUGGCACGAACGCCUCGUGUAGCGUGCCAGUGUGCACACGCAAGCCCAAAUGUACAUAUGUGGGGGGGGGUUAGGAGAACACUCCUGUUCUAAGGAGACCCUCAUGUUCUCCAUUGCGUGCUUUUUCCGAUUUUCUUUAUGAAACAUUCCUGUUCUAAUCGUCCACUUGCAGGGCGUGGGGGGCAGAUGGGUGAUGGCUCCUCUGCACGUCCUCCCUUUGCUCCGCCAGGGGAGGGGGGACUAGAAAGUGCGCAUGUCGGUUCACAGGCUGAUGUGAUGCUUCGUGACAGGCUGAGAGCUCCGUAGGGCGCCACGUGCCCCUCUGCCCACCCAGCAAGCCCCUCCCCCCCCC
ensembl:lncRNA